rnacentral:rRNA from 1 species
GACGGAGGGUGCAAGCGUUAUCCGGAAUCACUGGGUUUAAAGGGUGCGUAGGCGGCUUGAUAAGUCAGGGGUGACAGCCCGCAGCUUAACUGCGGAACUGCGUUUGAUACUGUCGAGCUUGAAAGAGGUUGAGGUCAGCGGAACGUGACAUGUAGCGGUGAAAUGCAUAGAUAUGUCACAGAACACCGAUUGCGAAGGCAGCUGGCUGGACCUACUUUGACGCUGAUGUACGAAAGCUUGGGGAGCGAUCAGG